GGACUCUUAGCUCAGAUGGUCAGAGCAGUCGGCUCAUAACCGAUUGGUCGUAGGUUCAAGUCCUACAGAGUCCA
rnacentral:tRNA from 1 species